AGAGCGAACGCUGGCGGCAGGCCUAACACAUGCAAGUCGAGCGCCCGUAGCAAUACGGGAGCGGCAGACGGGAUAGUAACACGUGGGAACGCGCCCUUCGGUUCGGAAUAACUCAGGGAAACUUGAGCUAAUACCGGAUACGCCCUUACGGGGAAAGAUUUAUUGCCGAAGGAACGGCCCGCGUCCGAUUAGCUAGUUGGUGAGGUAAUGGCUCACCAAGGCGACGAUCGGUAGCUGGUCUGAGAGGAUGACCAGCAUCACUGGGACUGAGACACGGCCCAGACUCCUACGGGAGGCAGCAGUGGGGAAUAUGGACAAUGGGCGCAAGCCUGAUCCAGCCAUGCCGCGUGGAUGAUGAAGGCCUUAGGGUUGUAAAGUCCUUUUAACGGGAAGAUAAUGACGGUACCCGUAGAAUAAGCCCCGGCUAACUUCGUGCCAGCAGCCGC
rnacentral:rRNA from 1 species